ACCCCAUAUGCCGCGGAGACGCAUGUCUCCGCGGUGAAAGAUCCGUCGGUCCGGGAUGGGCAUGCGGCGCAUUAGCUUGUUGGCGGGGCAACGGCCCACCAAGGCGACGAUGCGUAGGGGUUCUGAGAGGAAGGUCCCCCACACUGGUACUGAGACACGGACCAGACUCCUACGGGAGGCAGCAGUGAGGAAUAUUGGUCAAUGGACGCGAGUCUGAACCAGCCAAGUCGCGUGCGGGAUGAAGGCCCUCCGGGUCGUAAACCGCUUUAGCCGGGGAGUAACGUGCGGGUCGUGACCCGCAGUGAGAGUACCCGGAGAAUAAGCAUCGGCUAACUCCGUGCCAGCAGCCGCGGUAAUACGGAGGAUGCGAGCGUUAUCCGGAUUUAUUGGGUUUAAAGGGUGCGCAGGCGGCCUGUCAAGUCAGCGGUCAAAUUUCGGCGCUCAACGCCGUACCGCCGUUGAAACUGGCAGUCUCGAGUGCGUGGGAGGAUGGCGGAAUGCGCGGUGUAGCGGUGAAAUGCAUAGAUAUCGCGCAGAACCCCGAUUGCGAAGGCAGCUGUCCAUCACGCCACUGACGCUC
rnacentral:rRNA from 1 species